GAUGAACGCUGGCGGCGUGCUUAACACAUGCAAGUCGAACGGAAAGGCCCAAGCUUGCUUGGGUACUCGAGUGGCGAACGGGUGAGUAACACGUGGGUGAUCUGCCCUGCACUUCGGGAUAAGCCUGGGAAACUGGGUCUAAUACCGGAUAGGACCACGUCUUGGAUGUUGUGGUGGAAAGUUUUUUCGGUGUGGGAUGAGCUCGCGGCCUAUCAGCUUGUUGGUGGGGUAAUGGCCUACCAAGGCGUCGACGGGUAGCCGGCCUGAGAGGGUGUACGGCCACAUUGGGACUGAGAUACGGCCCAGACUCCGACGGGAGGCAGCAGUGGGGAAUAUUGCACAAUGGGCGCAAGCCUGAUGCAGCGACGCCGCGUGGGGGAUGACGGCCUUCGGGUUGUAAACUCCUUUCGCUAGGGACGAAGCGUUUUUGUGACGGUACCUGGAGAAGAAGCACCGGCUAACUACGUG
rnacentral:rRNA from 1 species